CUCAUGGAGAGUCUCCAUCCAGCAGGAUCUCUGUCUCAGUAAAACCUCCAACCUCAGCUCCACCCACCAGUGAAGCUACACCUUCUACCUCAGCCUCCCUCCAGGUCAGGCUGCUCUGCCACCUGGUGGUCUUCUGUCCAUACUUCAUCUCCACUCUCCUCCUGGUGUCUCUAUAUCAGCACAAAGUCUCAGGAAGUGAUGUGCCAGUGUCUCCAGCAAUGACUCCACCCAUCCAGGCUGAGCAGAGAUUGAAUGAUGUUUAUGAUGAAGGGACAGAGCACCAUUUCUAAAUAAAACUAAUUAUUUUCUGAUUCAAUAAAUAUGGUGUUAUUAACUGAAGAAUCACAGUUUGAUGGAGCUCUUUGAUUUUUUUAACCAGCUCUGCAGCAGAUCUCAGCGGAUCAUUUAGGAAGUUUUAAGAAAAGUUAUGAGUUUUAUAUUUACCCAUUAUACAGGUUUCUU